GAAUCUUCGAUUUCAGAAUCUGAUCACUGGCAUACUGAAUUUCUUCUGGUGUUGCUUUGUGUGCCACAAUGUCCUGUAGCUGUUCAAUUGGUGAUUUUUGGGUUACCAGCUGCUUCUGAAUUGAAUCUCCAGGAUCUAUUGCUGCUAACUCUCCUGGGAUCAGAUUGCGAAGUUGCUCGAUAUCUGGCAUUCCAUAGGAGAAUUUUCCAACAACUGCAUAUUGUAGAUUCUCAAUGUUAUUCAUACGAGCCACCUCUUCCUCAGUCCAUUUGAGAUAUAGUACUCCAUGAAGAAAAGAAAUCUUCUUAAUGGGAAUUGGAGUUACUGCUUGUGUCUUCCUGUGAUUGAUUUCAUUUAAAAUUGUAGGAUUCAAUAGAUCAGCAAAUGAUACUUUGUUCUCGCUGGGUUCUUUGAUUACUCCUUCUGUUUGUUUUGUCGUUGUGUUGUGUUGGUCAGCCACUCCGGUGGACUGACCAACGGCCAUAGAGGCCAUUGCCAUCUAGAUUGGUCUACGUAUUAGGGUUUGCAUGAAAAUAGGAUGAGAGAGAAGAGAGCGUUU